AGCAAUCGGUGUAAUUCUUAUCAUCCUAACUGAAUAUAAGUUUGCGAGAAGUUGUUCCUAAUUUCAUUAUUAGUGAAGCUCUCACUGUGUUAACACCAAAUAUAUUGAAAUUUUUCAGUGCAAUCGGCGUAAGACCCUCUCAGGAUUUUAAAGGCUGACAGCUACCACCCCACCAUUCGCCGAUAGCAUCCACAAAACCGACGACAAAACCAGGAACCAGGAUCUGAAGGUGUGAUUGUUGAAGUCGAAAAGAUGGGCACCUUUAUAUUCCCGGUUUCUUUUAAAACUUUUGAAAGGAACCUAAACAAACCAGAGGUGUUCGACAGGCUCACUAAAAGCAAAAAGGAUUGUUUACAGCUGUUGGGCGAUAGUCAACGUGGUCGUAAAAUCUUAGAAACUUUCUAUUCUUGCUAUUACAUGGCCCCACUUCAUCGUGGCCAAAAUA